CGGGCGGGGCGGGGCCGCACAGCAGGACGGUUCUGGUUCCAUCGCGAGUGUCCACCACCUUCUCAUCUCCACAGUCUCACCUGGAAGACAGAACCGACACUGGGUGCCGGGAACCUCCGUGCGGCCCUGCGGCCGACAGCCCCCACUCCGUGGGUCCAGCGGCUGCAGACCCCCCCCACAACGGUGCCAUCGAGGCAGAAGACCCCCCAAGACCGGUGGUGGCCAGGAACACGGCUAAAGACGGCAGUGACCCCGCCGGCUGCUCUGUGACUAGACUCUGUGCCCCGAGGUGCGGCUGCCUCCCCGGCGAACGGAAGGAACUGAGGCCAGGAAAGGGCUCCCCAACUGUCCUGGUGGGGGCCGCCCCGGAGUCGGGCAGCUCUUGGGGUGACCCCUGCUCAGGAUGCCACCACCAGGGCCCCGGAGUGGGGCUCGGCACUGUGGCGGCCCAGAGCGGUCCUCACAGAGGUGGCUGAGCACCCAGGCGAUCUGUGGAAGAACCGCUCACAGCCACAGCUGCUGGCGGUUGACAAGAGUGAUACUUCACAUGACAAAAGAACACUCUCCGGCCGGCGGCUCUGACAGGGAGGGCAGAGCCAGCUCUGAGGCUCCCCAGGCGCCCCCUGCCACGGUUCCUCUUCCAGCCCAGGCUCCAGGCUCAGAAAGAUGAUCCACACGACACCCGGGGGCCAGUGGGGCAGUGCCGGGGGCCUCCUCAGACUACCUCACGGGUCACCGUGCGGGCAGAGGGCUGAGAGAGACACGCGGCUUCCAAGGAUCAGUGGCGAACAAUCAGCGGAAGCCGAGAGUGGCGGAGGCCUCCCCCGACCUGCUCCCUGCUACUCAGAGUGCCCCCCUCUCCCUCCGACCCCCUCUGGGGCCCCCCUCCAACAAAUAACCCCCAGGAAAACCCAGGCGGUGCUGUCCCUUUUCUGUCCUCAUACAACUAAGAGGCAGGACAGUUAAGAAGGCUAUCUGUGUGCAGGAGCUAAGAACCUUCUAUUUAGAAGCACCCGAACGUAUACCUGCCCUUGCCGAAAGAGAUGCCUAACUGCUUGGCGUAAAACAUGGUUACACGGGAAGCCCUUCUGCAGAGACGGCAGGACAACGUCAUCCCACUCAGAAAGGGCCCCAAGAUGAAAUGUUCUCUGUCUCCGAUUACUGGGGUUCCCAUACAAUCUGUGGAGGGCCACUGCUCUCAACGAGAUGGCUGAACUGAGAAAGCGGGACAGCGUAUGAAGAAAAUCAUUUCAGGUGGACAAAGCUGGACCCCACACCGAUGGGCCAGGCCGUCACCACUCAGAGCUGCAGUGUCUUUUGUGCACGUGGGAAGCACACACCGACACUGAGGUCUGAAUGCUGAAGCUUCCUGCUCCACGCGGGGGCCGAGGGCUACCGGCUGGCAGGGCCCAAGGCUGGCUGGAGAGGAAGCAGUUGAUGAACGAAAUUAAAAUUCCCAACUGGAGUUCUGCUCACCAGGCCCAGGGCUCAGACUUCCUUUUUUUGUUUUUAUCCCUCUCCAAACAUGAGCUGGGAUUCUGGGACAAAAACAAAAGGCACUCAGCACCAACUGGUUCCUUCCCUAACCCGGUCAUCCAAGGGCACUUCUAGAAUGUUCCUCGUGGCCCCUGUGGCAUGUGGCUCUGCCCGGCAGCCAGGCAGUGGAGUUGACAGGAAGAAGGCAGAGCCCAGGCACAGGACAAAGGCCAACAGAAACAAGCUGGAAAAGCAACCAGCCUGCUGUCUUGCCCCAGGGGCUGCUCGGUGGGGAAGGAGGACAGGAACAGUGGCCUCGCUGCAUUCCAGAAACCCGGGGCUGCUGCUAGCAGCAGCGUGCUCAUUUGGUUCCUGGGACCCAACCACCUGUUCUGCUCUGUCCCUUCCAUUCCUCAGCCCCCUCCCUGGGAGAGGAAGACAGGCCUAACUGCAAAGGCCUCACUCGACAGCCCCCUCGAGAAAGCACCACAGGCCUCCACAGCCCUGCAGCCUCCACGGCGGAGCAGAGGGGGCUUCUCUGGAAUUCUGUACCAGGACCCACCUGAAGAACGAGGACUUCUCAAAGGACAAAAACCGCCACUGUCUGAGACAAAUUCUAUUUUUUCCUCAAAUUACUGUUGGGUAUUCCAGAGAAAGGUGGAAUCUGCCGGUUGUAACAGGGGGAGGAAACGUGCCACAGACUAAGCGCACCUGUGUGUGGCUCUCAGAUGCCGGGAGUCAACACAGAAGCCCUUCAUUUGAAGAGAAAUAAUCCCUUAAUGAACAUUUCUGAGACAACUGGCUCCCCCCACCCCAUCCUAUAGGAGCAACCGCCUCAAGUUACAUUUUGGCUUUUCUUUUUUUCUCUUUAUGGUCUCUUUUCCUCAGUCCUCAGUGACUCCAUGGGGGGGGGGCAAGGAAGCCAGCUGGGGAGGAGGGGACGCCCGCUGCCUCUGGGGACGCUGGUCCUCUAAUCCCGUUUUCACAGAUGCACGCCGCCCUGACCACGAGCCCGGACACACUGGCACAAAGCAUAACUCAAUCUCUUGAGGUUUUUAGGAGUAAAAUUAAAUCGGAUGCUAAAGUCUCCUAAAUCUUCGAGGGGAUUUUCCUUCCCUUUGUACUUUUGCGCAAAGGAGUCCUUCACAGUACUUGGGGAAAGAGAUUUCAAAGAACAAAACUGGGAGUUUUUUUGUUUUUCAAAGGAAAAGCCACCAUAAGCUUUACAGAGAGGGAAUAAAUAAAAAAGGACAGCCCCCUGGCUAGAAGCAUUUCUGAGUCGGACACAGGGGGUGGGCUGCUGGCAGGGUCUGUCCCAGAAGCCUCCGGGAGCACCACACACACGCACGCGCGCGCACACACGCACGCACGCGCGCACGGCCUGACUUCAGCUCGGUCACUGAGCUCCGACGGGCAAUGGGACAGCCUCAAUCACCCCUCCUCGGGCUCCAGGGAAGCUAAGCGACGGACGGGGAGACGUUCUAUCCACCUGGUGUCGGCCGUCCACGUGAUUAAAGACCUGGGUGUAGCCGGGCCUGGGGCGAGCAGGAGGGCAGAGGCCAUGACACCCACCGGGACUCUGGCAGGGGUGCCGGCCCCGACUCACCUGUGCUUGCUGUACUUUCCAUUCCCACGAGCACUCUGCCCCCCUCACCCCCGCUCCGACUGCUCUGUGCUGAGGCUGCCUUUCGCUGUCUUGUUCUGCAAGGGGGGGAGGGGGAAUGGGAGGGGAGGCUGACGCCGGCAAAGCCAAGGACACGAGACAGGAGGGACAGAAGAACAGUGUGGGGGUCAGGGAGGGCAGAGGCGAGGAGAGGAAUGGCACAUGGAAAAGGAAAGAAAAAGCAAAGAGUCAGUAUUGAAUGACAAACAGGAGAUAUUCAGACAGGGUUUUCUAAGACAAAAUGUGACCAUUAGAGAAGUUUAAAAAAUAAAAAAAAAUGCAAAUUAACUCGAAGAGAAUACUAUAAGAUCCUAGGAUCCAUCUCUGGAAGUAAACUUUUAAAGAAAAGCCGGAGUAAGCAUCUUUCAGAAGUGUUUUGAAGGCAGACUGUCAGGAUGGCUUCUCAGUUCGCUCUGGCCCCAGUCGGAGACUGAAGCCUGUGAGCGUCCAGUGACCACCAGGUGUCAGUGUGACCUCAGCCAGAGGACAGCACGGCCGCUGCAGGAGCUCCAGGAGGCGACAGACCUUGGCCGCAGCCCCCAUCCUCUCCAGGGCUUCCCCGCACCCCCCUCUGCACCCUCCCUCCCUCCUCCCCCACACGUGCUGGCUCAGCAAUGGCCCAGUCACCCCAGAUCUUCCAUCAUUUCCUAAAGGGGCCACCAAGAGAGGAGAGAUGCCUCUUGAAUGAUGUGGGAAAUCAGGUGGCGGCGGCCCACCAACCACACCACAGGUCGCUUCCGCUGAGUGAGUUAAGAUCUAGAAGAGACUGAGUUUCCCAGCAAAGCCCUGGAGUCAAGUCUUAUUUCUUUCAGUCUGGGAAAAUGCCUCUGAUUAUGCACCAAGGCCUACAACCAAUCUUACCUUGCGCCAACCUGUGAACUGGGGUUCCAUUAAACUAAAAUGGAAAUCA